rnacentral:rRNA from 1 species
UACGUAGGGUGCGAGCGUUGUCCGGAAUUACUGGGCGUAAAGAGCUCGUAGGUGGUUUGUCGCGUUGUCCGUGAAAACUCACAACUCAAUUGUGGGCGUGCGGGCGAUACGGGCAGACUGGAGUACUGCAGGGGGAGACUGGAAUUCCUGGUGUAGCGGUGGAAUGCGCAGAUAUCAGGAGGAACACCGGUGGCGAAGGCGGUGGUCUGGGCCGGCACUGACGCUGAGGAGCGAAAGCGUGGGUAGCAAACAGG